ensembl:lncRNA
UGUUCGUUCAUGGUUUUUAAAAACACUGUCUUAUUUUUAUUAAGCUAAGCCCACUGCUGAUGUAAUUCUUGCAUUACAAAGGUCUUAAUUUAAACCAUGACAUAAAUGCUUUUCAUCAGUUGAUUUUUUGUUCUUUGUGCCAAAUUUCUUGCAUUUUUAAAAUAAAGAAUAUGGUGUAUAAUAACUGCUGCGGGACAGGCUGCUUUAUUCUUCAGUAUGAAAGACAAAUGGGGUGUGACAUGCAUACGUUUCAACAUGCAGCACUUACUUCUUUAGGACCUUACUUUUUCCACUGUUUUCUCAGUAGACUAUUUGAUUUCCUUUGAAUCGGGCCUAACGAUAACACGGGAUUUGAAGCACGGUUCUCGGCGUUGAGCGCACUGACGGGACCAAGAGGCUUCUUCACGUCAGUCCUAGAGGCCCUCAGAGGAGAAAGCAGCUUUCCCUUACCAACAGCCUAUCAGAUAUCCCUACCAUCAGAGUCCUGUGCUAGCAGUGGAGGGAUGAUAACGUUGUUUGUAACACGCUCUGAUGUGAAAAGUGCCGUAUAGGAUUGAACUGUUGCUGCCGAGAGGACCAGCAAUUUCCCCAGUGAGAUCUGUCAAUAGCUGACACUAAAACAACAAGGUACAAAGUGCAUCUGAAGGCUGUCAGACACCACUGCUUUUUUGUUUUCUCUAGCAAACUGCUCCUUGCAUAGGUGAAUUGACCCAGCACCGUUUAAAAAGAUAAAGGGCUCAGUGGCUCAGAAAGAAAAAGAAAUCAAGAAGAAUAAUGUUGGUGACUUUGUGCUGAGUCUAAUGACCUCAUGUCCCAUUAUAGCAUGUAAACAGAACUGUUGCUUACAUCUCUUCUGUUGGUCUUUGUGUUAUAGCAAAGAAAAGAACUUCUAUCUUUUCAUUUUGGUUUGGUUUGAAAAAUCAUAUCCAAAAAGUCACAUUACAGGGCAGAUUCCUAAAAAUAAGAAAUGAAUAUUAUACCUACCUUCUUAUUUAUGUGUGCAGAUAUAUGACUGACUUAUGUGAUCAGAAAAAUUGCAAACGAAAAUGAGACCUGCAGACGCAUCUGAAUUUUGUGUACUCCAAAAUGCAUCUUUUCAAAAUAUCUCCAGCUCGUUAACAACUGAAUUUUAGUCAUUGUAGUUUUGUUGUUUAUAUGCACACAGAUUGCUGUUAGGAGUGAAAUACGCUGUAACAUAAUGCAAUGAUUAUUUGAGAAGAAUU